GUGUUAAAGAGAACACCCUGGAAGACUCAGAGACAUGGGUCACUGUGUUGAUAAAAGAGUAAUGUGUUUUGAGGGCUAACAACUCAGCAAGGACUGCAGCCUCCUUCUUCCACACCCUCAACAUAAAGGGUCCCCACAGCCUUCCUGAGCAAGGCCCCUCUGACCUGUCAUUCUGGGGGUCAGUAUCCUCAGGAUGGCCUCCACCUCAGAUGGGGCCAGUCCACUCUGAGUGGGGCCUAGGUCUCCAGUGCUCACAAAGUCAGAUGCCACAGAGCCAUGUGGCGUGCACUUGGGAAGACGACAGCCACAAAAUCUCCAGGACGUGCCAGGCCCGGUUGUGAAAGGCACAAAGACCAAGAGAGAAACCCCCAGAGGAGAGAGAGCUGGGUGGGUGAGGGCCAGAGUCAGGACCCCAGCUGGAGGGAGUGGUCUCGCUGGGAAGAAGAGGAUCAUGGGACGAGAUCCUGGGCAGGUGACUUGGCUGUCCUGCAGGUUCAGCUCAGUGACCCACAGGACACACGGGGGUUUAGUGUAAGAUCCCACCAUGGUCAUGUCCUUCUACUUCAGUCGCACCACACUGGUUUCACCAAAUAUGGACUUAAAUCUUAGACAUUCUGUGAUUGAAAGAAAAAUAAAGGGAGCCUUCAGUUCUGACGAUUCUUGCUAAGGUGGAGAGGGGGCCCAGGAAUGCAGUUGCACCAUCAGUGGAAACGAUUUCUUAAGGCUUUACCCCAUCGGAAAUAAUUGAGUGCUUUGCUAGGAAAAACCAAGAAUGUGCUAUGUAAAUUAUUUAAAAUCUGCUACCUCUGCAGAGUUUUCAGUAGUAGAGAUCUAUUUCCUCAAAACAUUUGCCUAAACACUCACAGGGUUCUGACACAUCAUGAGAUUCUUGGAUUUAACACCUUUUGGACAAGACUGGUAAAUGUGAAUAUUCCAUCGAAGUAGAGAAAAAGGAGUGAAGUACAUGUUGAGGUUAGGAUUUAACAUUUAUCCUGCCUUCCUGCCUUCC